rnacentral:rRNA from 1 species
UCCGACCUCAGAUCGGACGAGAUA